rnacentral:misc_RNA from 1 species
GAUGAAUAACGUAGCGAAAUGCGAUACUUGGUGUGAAUUGCAGAAUCCCGUGAACCAUCGAGUCUUUGAACGCAAGUUGCGCCCGAAGCCACUAGGCCGAGGGCACGCCUGCCUGGGCGUCACACGUCGUUGCCCCCCCAUCUACUCCUUCGGGAUUGCGGGGGGGCGGAUGAUGGCCUCCCGUGCGCCUAGCCGCGCGGUUGGCAUAAAUACCAAGUCCUCGGCGACGCACGCCACGACAAUCGGUGGUUGCGAAACCUCGGUUGCCCGUCGUGUGCGUUCGUCGCGCAUCGAGGGCUCGAAAAAAUGCUCGGCUCCGGCUGGGCUUUCAACGCGACCCCAGGUCAGGCGGGGUUACCCGCUGAAUUUAAGCAUAUCAAUAAGCGGAGGA